GCAAAACGCGAAGAACCUUACCCACCUCUGACAUGUACGGAAUCCUUUAGAGAUAGAGGAGUGCUCGAAAGAGAGCCGUAACACAGGUGCUGCAUGGCUGUCGUCAGCUCGUGUCGUGAGAUGUUGGGUUAAGUCCCGCAACGAGCGCAACCCUUGCCAUUAGUUGCUACGAAAGGGCACUCUAAUGGGACUGCCGGUGACAAACCGGAGGAAGGUGGGGAUGACGUCAAGUCCUCAUGGCCCUUAUAGGUGGGGCUACACACGUCAUACAAUGGCUGGUACAAAGGGUUGCCAACCCGCGAGGGGGAGCUAAUCCCAUAAAGCCAGUCGUAGUCCGGAUCGCAGUCUGCAACUCGACUGCGUGAAGUCGGAAUCGCUAGUAAUCGUGGAUCAGAAUGUCACGGUGAAUACGUUCCCGGGUCUUGUACACACCG
rnacentral:rRNA from 1 species